rnacentral:ncRNA from 1 species
AAAGGUUUGGUCCUAGCUUUAUUAUCAAUUCCAUCUUGACUUACACAUUGCAAGUUUCAGCACACCCGUGAGGAUGUCCUUCCACCUAAGCCAGAAGAAGGAACAGGCAUCAGGCACAGUACCUCUAGCCUAAAACGCCUAGCACCACCACACCCAUAUGGGCAUGCAGCAGUGAUUAACAUUACUAAUAAGCGCCAGCUUGAACUAGCCAAAGAUAUUAAGGGCCGGCCAACUUGUGUGCCAGCCGCCGCGGCUAAACCAGGGACCCAAAUUGAUAAUUAUUCGGCGUUAAGUGUGACAUUUAGCCUCAUCAAUAAAUUAGAGUUAAUCCAAGAUCUAGUCGUGGUAAGCUUAUCUUAAUGAAAAUCAUGCACAAGCCACUCUAACUACUGCUCAAAUGCACGACAGCUCAGACACAAACUGGGAUUAGAUACCCCACUAUGCUAAGCCGUAAACUUAAACCACACCCAUCAACGCCCGGGAAUUACGAGUAACACUUAAAACCCAAAGGACUUGACGGUACCCCAUCCAUCUAGAGGAGCCUGUUCUAUAAUUGAUAAUCCCCGUUUCACCCUACCUUCACUUGCCUUUCAGCCUGUAUACCUCCGUCGUAAGCUUACCAUAUGAGCGUUAAAUAGUGAGCCCAAUUAAUAUCUUAUAAACAGGUCAGGUCAAGGUGCAGCUCAUGUAAAGGAAAGCAAUGGGCUACAAUUUCUAACUUAAAAUAAAGUAACAGCCACAUGAAACUGUGACUUGAAGGCGGAUUUAGUAGUAAGCGGGGAAUAGAGAGCCCCCCUUAACUAGGACCUGGGUUGUGUACAAACCGCCCGUCACCCUGUCCGAUCCUACUUUACUCAUAUUUAAUACAAAACUACACCAAAGAAGAGGUAAGUCGUAACACGGUAAGAGUACCGGAAGGUGCGCUUGGAAUAC